GUAGUUUCCCGGACCACCAAAUCUCCAACUGGGAGCUUGGAGAAGAUGAAUGAAACAAUGCAUCAAAUAACUUGGAUGAGCUUUGUCAAGGGUCUGAGAAUGGCUCUUCUAUAUUCUAGUUCCUACGAUGUGGCCUGCCAUGAGACCGGAGACUGAAAAGACCAUCAAGAUGAAACUUCACUUUUAUCCUGUUUGAACGACCCAUUCAGCUGUGAUUUGGAGCGAGGCCCAGCACUUGGAUGAAUGAGAAGAGUACUGGGCAGCCCUAACGACGCAUCACGCAGUCGGUGGCUUUAGACCAAGGAACACAAGGAAGGAUGAUGAAACCUCAUAAAAGCCCCCGUGGAUGGAGCAGCGAUUUCCAAGGCAGGGCCAACCCCCAACACAAAUUAAAAGCUAAGAAGACGGAAACCUUCUGAUUCAACGUUCUGCCAGUUGCCACAGCCCAAAAUGAUCCCUUGAACGGGGCCAGAACAAGAGUCCCCCAAGGCAACUGUGGAAAGAAAACUGUUCAACGGGACUCCCAGCCAGACGGUUCCGGGAAAAUGACUUGGAGUCUCAAGUGGAGGAAGUCAGAAAUCCCAAGAGCCUGAACGGUCUGUUGGAACUGAGGGAAGAAAUGGGUCCCAGGAAAUUCUGGGUUCUCUUCCAGGCUUGGCUGCUGACAACAUUUUGUUGUGUGAUCCUAUCUCCCUCCCACGUAUGCCUGAGGAAGAAAAAAACAAUUUGGGGACCUGCCUUUACUUGGUACCUUAUGUCCCUCUGCUAAAUUGAAUGGAAAGUGACCAAAGGCAACAAUCCAGCCACUUGAACGUCCCCUUGACUGAAUAAAGGCGUGCAACCAAUUGGAAGA